GGUGCUUUUAGUCUCAAAGUUCUGAAAAACUUACAGCAGUGUUUUUAGAAACAAAUGUGAAAAGUCAAAUUAAAUAGAUAGUAUUUACAAAUGUAAAAUACCUGCCAGAUCUACCAUUAAUAGAUAAUAAACUAAACCAGACUGGAGGCAAACGGGACUAAGUGUUUAAGCAACAACUAUAUACUACUUAGCUUAAAUAUAUUUUGUUAAUAGGAACAUUAAUAGAACAUUUUUAUGUAACAAAAUAUGGACAACUAUUAUCUUGGAAAUUAAAGAGUCGAAGCAAAGAAAUGAAGGGCUGGUAAAAUGAAUUU
rnacentral:lncRNA from 1 species